GGGGAAUAUUGGACAAUGGGCGCAAGCCUGAUCCAGCCAUGCCGCGUGGGUGAAGAAGGCCUUCGGGUUGUAAAGCCCUUUUGUUGGGAAAGAAAAGCAGCCGGCCAAUACCCGGUUGUUCUGACGGUACCCAAAGAAUAAGCACCGGCUAACUUCGUGCCAGCAGCCGCGGUAAUACGAAGGGUGCAAGCGUUACUCGGAAUUACUGGGCGUAAAGAGCUCGUAGGCGGUUAGUCGCGUCUGCUGUGAAAACUCGAGGCUCAACCUCGGGCUUGCAGUGGGGACGGGCUGACUAGAGUGCGGUAGGGGUGACUGGAAUUCCUGGUGUAGCGGUGGAAUGCGAAGAUAUCAGGAGGAACACCGAUGGCGAAGGCAGGUCACUGGGCCGCAACUGACGCUGAGGAGCGAAAGCAUGGGGAGCGAACA
rnacentral:rRNA from 1 species